UACGGGGGGGGGCAAGCGUUGUUCGGAAUUACUGGGCGUAAAGGGCUCGUAGGCGGCCAACUAAGUCAUACGUGAAAUCCCUCGGCUUAACCGGGGAACUGCGUCUGAUACUGGAUGGCUUGAGUUCGGGAGAGGGAUGCGGAAUUCCAGGUGUAGCGGUGAAAUGCGUAGAUAUUGGGAGGAACACCAGUGGCGAAGGCGGCUCACUGGACCGGAACUGACGCUGAUGCACGAAAGCGUGGGGAGCAAACGGG
rnacentral:rRNA from 1 species